rnacentral:tRNA from 1 species
GCGCCCGUAGCUCAGUGGAUUAGAGCACGCGGCUACGAACCGCGGGGUCGGGAGUUCAAGUCUCUCCGGGCGUA